AGCAGGCCGCUCCCAGGGUCCCGCUUGCAGAGGGAAUCAGCGCCUAGGGUCGUGACGCACUGGUCCGAGGUCGCCAGCCGGGGCGGGGACCAGGAGUCGAGUUUGCGCGCGUCAGACACUCCAGCUACGCGUCUGGGAUCCCCUGGGAGGCCAGCGGGGCCUUGCAGGAGUGCCCGGAGCUCGCACUCUGGCUGGACCAGCUCCUGCCAGCGCGGGAACAGAGCGCAGCAUGCUCGCCGCCGCCGAGAGCCUCCUGCGUCUCCGCCCGGGGCGCAUCCUCAGCUGCGCCCCGAGGGCUUCUCGAGAAGCCGCGCGGCUACCCAUCGCGCUUCUCCGGCCCCGGGGUCUCCCCCACUACUCCAGCGGUGGAGCUCCCAGUAGCUCUGGGCCCCAGGGUCCGGGGAAGGUUCACAGGGUCCCCGCCGAGCACAAGCCUUCCCAAUUCGACAAGAAAAUCCUGCUGUGGACCGGGCGUUUCAAAGCGAUGGAGGACAUCCCGCCUCGGAUCCCGCCAGAAAUGAUAGAUGCUGCAAGAAACAAAGCUCGAGUGAAAGCUUGUUACAUAAUGAUUGGACUCACAAUUAUUGCCUGCUUUGCAGUGAUAGCAUCAGCCAAAAGGGCUGUAGAACGACACGAAUCCUUAACAAGUUGGAACCUGGCAAAGAAAGCUAAGUGGCGUGAAGAAGCCGCGUUGGCUGCACAGGCUAAGGCUAAAUGAUACUCCAAGUGACAAAGUGUUAAGCAGAAGGUCAUCACUAUUACCAGCAACAAUUAAAGAUAGUAAAUUUUUAUUGAAGUAUCAACCAUGCAGACAAGUGCACCAAAGUGUAUACAGCUUGAUAGAUUUUUGUACAUAGAGAACACACCUGCAUCACCACUGCCCAGGUCAAGAUAUAGAACAUCCCCAGCAACUCGGAAUCCUCCUUUCUGUCAGUCAAUACCCUCCCAAAGGAACCAUUCUUGUGAGUUUUAUCACCAUACUCACCAUUCAUUAGUUUUUGAACUUUAUAUAAAUAGAAUUACACAAUAUGCACUUGUGAACAUGGAUUCUUAUACUCAACAUUAUGCUGUGAGAUUUAUCCACAAACUGUGUACAGUGUGAAUUCAUUUACUUUUAGUGUUACGAUAUUCCAUUAUAUGAUGUGCCACAGUUUAUCUGGAUAUUUGAUCCAGUUUUUGGUCAUUACAGAUAAUGCUAAAAUUAACACUCUGUGCAAGUAAUUAAAAUGUUAUUGAACUAAAAUCAC